rnacentral:rRNA from 1 species
AUUGAACGCUGGCGGCAGGCUUAACACAUGCAAGUCGAACGAGUGGCGGACGGGUGAGUAAUGCUUGGGAAUCUAGCUUAUGGAGGGGGAUAACUACGGGAAACUGUAGCUAAUACCGCGUACCAUAGGAUGAGCCCAAGUGUGAUUAGGUAGUUGGUGAGGUAAAGGCUCACCAAGCGACGAUCUCUAGCUGGUCUGAGAGGAUGACCAGUCACACUGGGACUGAGACACGGCCCAGACUCCUACGUGAGGCAGCAGUGGGGAAUAUUGCGCAAUGGGGGCAAGCCUGAUGCAGCCAUGCCGCGUGAAUGAAGAAGGCCUUCGGGUUGUAAAGUUCUUUCGGUAGCGAGGCGUUACCUGCAGAAGAAGCACCGGCUAACUCCGUGCCAGCAGCCGCGGUAAUAC